rnacentral:rRNA from 1 species
AAACUGCAAGUCGAACGAGAUCUUCGGAUCUAGUGGCGCACGGGUGCGUAACGCGUGGGAAUCUGCCCUUGGGUUCGGAAUAACUUCUGGAAACGGAAGCUAAUACCGGAUGAUGACGUAAGUCCAAAGAUUUAUCGCCCAAGGAUGAGCCCGCGUAGGAUUAGCUAGUUGGUGGGGUAAAGGCCCACCAAGGCGACGAUCCUUAGCUGGUCUGAGAGGAUGAUCAGCCACACUGGGACUGAGACACGGCCCAGACUCCUACGGGAGGCAGCAGUAGGGAAUAUUGGACAAUGGGCGAAACCCUGAUCCAGCAAUGCCGCGUGAGUGAUGAAGGCCUUAGGGUUGUAAAGCUCUUUUACCCGGGAUGAUAAUGACAGUACCGGGAGAAUAAGCUCCGGCUAACUCCGUGCCAGCAGCCGCGGUAAUACGGAGGGAGCUAGCGUUGCUCGGAAU